UACAGAGGGGGCAAGCGUUGUUCGGAAUUACUGGGCGUAAAGGGCGCGUAGGCGGCCGCCUAAGUCAGACGUGAAAUCCCUCGGCUCAACCGGGGAACUGCGUCUGAUACUGGGUGGCUUGAAUCCGGGAGAGGUAUGCGGAAUUCCAGGUGUAGCGGUGAAAUGCGUAGAUAUCUGGAGGAACACCGGUGGCGAAGGCGGCAUCCUGGACCGGUAUUGACGCUGAGGCGCGAAAGCCAGGGGAUCAAACGGG
rnacentral:rRNA from 1 species